GGGAAGGGAAAUAAAAAGUCAAAGAAAAAUACUCAGUCAAUCAAUACAGGCAAUAUUCUUGCUACCAGAAGUAGAAGUAAAGAACAAAAGCAAAAGGUUUGUAAGGAAAGUGGAGGAGUCAAGCUUGUAAGAGGUAUCAGUCACAAACUAAAAUGCUUCUACACCAAUGCACAGAGUAUGAGAAAUAAAAAAGGAGAACUGGAGAUCCUAACACAGGAAGAUAAAUAUGAUGUCAUAGGCAUUACGGAAACCUGGUGGGAUAACGCACAUGAAUGGAACACGGAUAUCGAAGGCUACAACUUAUUUUUGCGAAACAGACUUAACAAAAGAGGAGGGGGUAUUGCACUGUAUGUUAAAAAAGCAUUUGUCUCCUCAGAUUCAGGUUUCAGAGAAUGGAAGCCCGGUAGAAUCUGUCUGGGUAAGAAUUCAAGGAGAGAACAACAGAAAGGACACCAUUGUAGGAGUUUAUUAUAGGCCCCCUGGACAAACAGAAGAUAUGGAUGCUCUCUUUCUAGAUCAGAUGGCUAAACUCUCAAGAAAGCAUGACAUAGUGCUUAUGGGAGAUUUUAACUAUCCAGACAUUUGUUGGGAAUCCCUCUCAGGCAAAAGUCACAAGUCUAAUAAGUUCUUAUCCUCUCUUGCUGACAACUUCAUCUACCAAAAGGUGGAGGAGAAAACAAGAGGACUGGCUAUCCUCAAUCUAAUUCUUACCAACAGAGAGGAAAUGGUUGAGGAAAUCAGAGUUUCUGGGACCUUAGGAGGCAGUGACCAUGCUAUCCUUAAAUUCUGGAUAAUAAGGGAAGGAAAGCCUGAGAGGACUCAGACUUCAAAGUUGGACUUCAGACGGGCGGAUUUUGAUGGACUCAGAAGGAGGGUAGGAAGGAUAAAAUGGUUGAAUGUACUAAAGGAUAGAAAUGUCCAAGAAGGAUGGGAUACUUUGCGAAAUGCAAUACUAGAAGCACAGUCUUUAACAAUUCCUCAAAGAAAGAAGAACGGGAAGCAUCUAAAGAGACCAGGGUGGAUAAACCCAAAACUUAAAAACUUGCUAAAGAGGAAAAAAGAAAUGUUCAAGAAAUGGAAGGAGG
rnacentral:lncRNA from 1 species